CACGAGAGGUGGUGACGUAUUCGCAGUGCAGAGCUGUGAAGGCAUGGAAACGUCAGCGCUGGGUUUGCAGCGUGGUGCUGGGUCACUCCGCCUGAGCGCUGCGCUCCGAUGAGCAUCGGGCAUGGGGAGGAGCUGGCUGGCCGGGGCUGCAGCAACCCUGCUCCUGUUGGGCUGCGUUGAAGGUUGGUGAGGGCUGGAUGGGAGAACGUUGGCGUUGAGGAUGAGAGGUGCUGGUGGGAUGGAGCCGGAGACCUGCAGCCCCCUAGGUGACUUUCCCCCACCAGCGCUCCUACCAAACAUCUCCUCGGCUCAGGAAGGCAACUUGGUUCUUGCCCGCUGCCUGGUUUUCUCCCGUGCUCCUGUCACCCACAUCUUCUUCUGCAAGAACGGGGUGGUGCUGGAGAACCUCCCGGUGGGACGCAAGCAGUUCACCGCUACACUUGCCAUCCAGCUUUCUGCAGAGAGCAGCGGCACCUACUCCUGUGGGUACCGACGGCAGAGCAACCUCGGGUACAUCAAGAUCUCAAGUCUGAGCAUCCCCUGGCUCCUGACCAUCGGAGGUAGGAAGGGUGAGCUGAGGAACAGCACCACCACCACCAUCUCAGAGCUGCCAGCUGAAGGGCUGGGAAUCUCACUCAGCUUGGCUCUCGUGGUCAUCUCCCUCCUGGUUCUGGCUUUGAGCAUCCACCUCUUCCUGCAGAUAGGAAAGCGAGUCCAGCUGGCCAGCUUGAAGCAUUGCAUCCGUCCCCCAGUGGAAAAACCCAACAUUUCACUAAGAAAGAGUCCUCCAAAAUCUCUUGCAUCUGGAUGACUUGUUGUUGGACCGCAGAAAUGCCCCUGGGUAUAUAAUAUUGCAGUCCCCAGUGGAUGUGGCAGGGGCAAUUGGCACAAAACAGCAUCUCUUUGGCUCAACGCCACCUGCUCUGCAUAGGCAAGCACCAACAGCACCUCUCCAGGCUUUCCAAUUCCAUAACAAUAGCUCUUGGCCACGGAAGUCCACUAAUUAAUUAAAGAUGCUUUUCUCUCUGAACAUCAACCCUUUUCAUUGGUCUCUGAAGAUUUCCCAGGCGCACAAUUUCCCACCAGGUUUGAGCCUCAGUCCCUGGCAAGUCAGCAUGAGAGAGGUAUGGUUGAGAACUUUCCUGGUGGCCACCAAGAUGUCUUUGUUGCCCAAAGCAGCACCAGUCCCUUUGCCAGCAUCACCCAAAUGUUGAGGAGCAUAAAUCCAGUCGGUCUUCCCAUUUGGGUCUUCCCACGCUGCCCACCAAAGACCCUGUUUCCUGGGUGCAUCUGAUCCAGCAGAUGGGACCCAGUGGCGAAACCACUGCCACUCUGUCCUUUGGUCAUUUCCCCCUUGGCCAUGGGACGUCCUGAGCCUCUGUUAUGGCACAGGCUUGGAUUUGCAUUUCAGAGCUACCUUGCACCACUCCUCCCCACAAAACCCAGCAGAGCUCAGACCCUCCCACCUCACCCACACCUGCUGCCCCAAGACACCACAACGCUUUUCUGUUAUUGUUAUUUGCAGUGCUUUUUUAUUGCCAUGAUUUGCUGGCUCGGCUGCCAUUGCCGCUUCCAACCGCAAGGAAGAACAAGAAGAGAAGAAGGAAAACAAAGCAAAACAAAACAAAUUAACAUCUGUGCACUAUUGCUCUACUUCAGCGUUUUCUGAGGGCAGCACGCUCUGCUUAGCAUCUACAGGAAGCAAGGAUCAUUUUUUCCUUGCUUCUUCUGGUAUCUUCUCCCUUUCUUUGGGUCAUGUUGCAUAAAGAAAAGGGGUGGUACUUUCUCUAAAUACGGGGGAGGACAGUCUUCGUUCUCCACAACUACUUUAAUGAUUGAUUUUGCAGCACUGGACAUGGUGGCCAUGACCUGUGUGCCACCAGCAGAGACCUGCAUGGUCUCCUGGGCUGCACGGAGCUUGACAAGCUGGAUCAUGCCCCUGUUGCUGGGAUUUGAGGGUAAACCUCUGUACAUCCUCUUAUAGAUAUCCUCCAGUAAGCCAAGGUGGGCUUUUUCCGGGGAGAUCUCCACAGCAAACUCCAUGUUGAAAAACUUGUAGUUGUAAGGGUUGGAGAAGAGGAUGGCCAGGGUGAAGGCCUCUGCCUCGUACACCAGGACGCCCACGCUGCCCCGGAAAAGGUGCGGGGAGUUGGUGAAGGUGCAGCAUUCCAUGGCUCCUGGUGGGAUGAUGGGGCUGGGGGGCACGGAGCUGUAGCCGCUGUAGCAGUAGGUCCUGGAGGGAGAGGAGAAAUGAGGAAAGGGAGAGAGAGAGGGCAUGGAGAAACAGAGGAGUGAGGGAGGAGAGGGAAGGGGAGAGGAGAGGGGUGGGCAAGAGGGUGGGUAUUUGGAGAGCUCUUGAGUUCAUCUUUAAUGCCCUGAGGGAGAUCACAGAACCAUCACAUCAUCCCAGCUGGAAUAGGCUUUCUAGAUCCUCGAGUCCAACCACCAGCCUGACCUGAGUCCCAUCACCAAACCUGAGUGCCACGUCAAACUCCUCCAGGGGUGGAGACUCUACCAUUUCCCUCUUAUGGAGGCUUUAGAGCUUCCAUGGAAUGGAGGUUCUACCAUUCCCCUGUCAUGGAGGCUCCAUCUCUUCCUUGGGAUGGAAGUUCUACCAUCUCCCUGGCAUGGAGGCUCCAAAACUUUCAUGGGAUGGAGGUUCUACCACUUCUCUGUGAUGGAGGCUCUGUCACUUCCCAUUCCAAACAAAACACCACCAACACCCCCGACACCAACAGCGUGCUCCAUCUUCAACCCUCAGCAACACAACUGUUGUCCGUAAGAACCAACCUCUGUGUGCGUGUCCUUCGAUACAGCAAAUACGUGUUUUUAUUCAGGUAGUAAUGACACCGCUAAUGUGAUUAGUAGGGGAACCCCUAACCACAACCAAAACAAAUGGAUUUGUCUUGGAAGGCAGAUGUCCCUGCCCACCUGUCCCCAGUUCCCUGUGGUGGCAUUACCUGGGGGAGCGCAGGGUCACAUCCCUCGUGUUGUUGGUGAGCUGGAUCUCCACGCUCCGCGAGGCCAUCCCAGCGGUGCCUGCAACGGGAUCUGCCGAGGGGGAAAUGUCGCUGGAGGAAAUAAACUGUGCCCGACACCGCCCA
rnacentral:lncRNA from 1 species